rnacentral:rRNA from 1 species
GAUGAACGCUGGUGGCGUGCCUAAUACAUGCAAGUCGAGCGAACGGACGAGAAGCUUGCUUCUCUGAUGUUAGCGGCGGACGGGUGAGUAACACGUGGAUAACCUACCUAUAAGACUGGGAUAACUUCGGGAAACCGGAGCUAAUACCGGAUAAUAUUUUGAACCGCAUGGUUCAAAAGUGAAAGACGGUCUUGCUGUCACUUAUAGAUGGAUCCGCGCUGCAUUAGCUAGUUGGUAAGGUAACGGCUUACCAAGGCAACGAUGCAUAGCCGACCUGAGAGGGUGAUCGGCCACACUGGAGCGGAGACACGGUCCAGACUCCUACGGGAGGCGGGAGUAGGGAAUCGUCCGCAAUGGGCGAAAGCCUGACGGAGCAACGCCGCGUGAGUGAUGAAGGUCUUCGGAUCGUAAAACUCUGUUAUUAGGGAAGAACAUAUGUGUAAGUAACUGUGCACAUCUUGACGGUACCUAAUCAGAAAGCCACGGCUAACUACGUG